UUGCCUCAGUAACGGCGAGUGAAGCGGCAAAAGCUCAAAUUUGAAAUCUGGCGCUUCCGGUGUCCGAGUUGUAAUUUGGAGAGGCAUCUUCUGGGGGGACCCGGCCUAUCUUCCUUGGAACAGGAGGUCACAGAGGGUGAGAAUCCCGUCCUUGGCUGGAUGUUCCCCCCUGUACGUAGUGUCUUCUACGAGUCGAGUUGUUUGGGAAUGCAGCUCAAAAUGGGUGGUAAAUUUCAUCUAAAGCUAAAUACUGGCGAGAGACCGAUAGCGCACAAGUAGAGUGAUCGAAAGAUGAAAAGCACUUUGAAAAUAGAGUCAAAAAGUACGUGAAAUUGUUGAAAGGGAAGCGCUGGAGACCAGACUCGGCCCCGGAUGAACAAGCCGCCUUCUGGCGGUUGCACUUGUCCUGGGCCGGGCCAGCAUCAGUUGGGGCGGUGGGAUAAAGGCGCGCGGAAUGUGGCUCCCCUCGGGGAGUGUUGUAGCCGCGGGUGCAAUGCCGCCUGCCCCGACUGUGGACCGCUCUUUGGCUAGGAUGCUGGCNUAAUGGUUUUCAGCGACCCGUCUUGAAACACGGACCAANGAGUCUAACAUCUAUGCAAGUGUUUGGGCCUC
rnacentral:rRNA from 1 species